UUAGCCAACGAAUGGGCUCUCCUGUCUCGUGGCUGGUUUGCUGUGCUUGCUGCUCCAGCACCAGCCUGGCUUGGAUCUAAAAACCCGAGGACCCUGCUGUGCCCAGCUAUGUAUUUUGGCAAGCUCCUCCUGCAAGUCCUGGAAGACCUGCCACUGAUCAGGGUCGCCAAGAAGAAUAUGCAUGUGGGCUCAGUUCCCCCAGCAGGAGAAAAUGGAUUGAGACUUGAGGUAUUGCCAUCCAGCCCCAAUCCACUGGGACAGCCCUGGGGGACUUGAGUCCUUUCCUUUAUCCCUGGUUAUCAGCUAAGUCAUGUCCAUGAGCCAACGGAAAGAUUAACCAGAAAAAGAAGGCAGCCUCGUCUACCACUGGGGCUGAGUCUCCCCAUCUUUCACUGGUAUUGCUGCUUGGCUCAGUAUCAACUACAUCAUAAUGUCUUGGGGACAUCGCUGACUCUCCAACAGGUGAAUUUCUUCCAGCUCACCCAUAAUAUUCUAGCGGGGGGCUCUGUUGCAUUACCCACACACACCCCACCCCGGCUCAGUGUUAUCCUGGGGAGUCAAAGCUUUCUUGGAGCCUGUCCUCACACUACAAGAGAGGCAGCUAUCUUCAUGAUUUCUAGAGACAUCUUCAUCACUAAAAGUUUUUGCUUAGAGCUAGGAAAUUAUUACAAGUAAAUGCAAACUUGCUGCCUCUAUUUCUCGUGACGAUGAUAUUAUAAUGCUAGUGAUAAUUCAUUUCUAGCAGUUGCCUUGUCUACCUUAUGUUCUGAUUCCUAAGGACAGUUGGCAAGGGAACUUCUCUGCUGCAGGCUUUGGCAGCUCACGUGACUAUCUGGCUUUGCAAUGAUGACAAAUGAAAUUACUGCAGGUCCUGGAGCCUUCGUCCCUGGAAACCAUCAACAGGAUGACAGCUCCUUCUAUUUGGCUUGUAACAAGCUCUUCCAGGCAACUAAUCACCAGGCAGGGUCUUCCAUCCAGAAUGCAGAGUUUCUUAAUCUUAUUUUGAAGAAUUAAUUGUGUGACCUCAGGACUGGGAUUAUUCCUCAUCGAGAACUCUGAAACUGAAACUCAAUAUAAAAGGAUAAUUAUAAAAGACUGUGAUGUAAAAAAAUGAAAAAGCUAAACUGUUUUUGAAAAAGUGAAGUUUCUAUGUAAACACAUGGGAGUACAAACAAUUUCCCAUUGAAGUUUUUUUUACAAUUACAAUAAAUAAAAGAAAUUUAGUUAAGAAUCAGUGGAAAGGGGUUUUGCUAGAGAGAGAAGACCAUUUUCCCC